GCAAAUGUCAAGGCACAUAUGAUAUGGAAUUGCAGGAUAAGGAAGGAAGACAAUUAUUAGAAAUACAAAAUAUAAUAGAAGUAAUUUUUAUGAUUAACAGAAUCCAUAAAUGCUUUAAAAUUUAAAUGAACUAUGAUGAAUCAAUCAACUAAUGAAAAAAUUUUCUUCAUGAAUUUGAAAAUUAUAAACCAUAAGCCAAAUAAUCGAGAAAAGAAUAUUUGCUGAUCAUGCAUAGUUGCAUACCACCAAGUAAUGUGCAAGAGUUACCACACCACAUCUCCCCAUUCCAAUCCCCUUCCAAUUUUGUACUUGCAACUAUCAAUGGGAAAAUUUAUAUUAAGAAAUUUUAAUUAUUCACCAAAA
rnacentral:misc_RNA from 1 species